rnacentral:tRNA from 1 species
UGAGCUGUAGCUCAGUGGUAAAGUGCUUGCCUCCUGUGUAUGAGGCACUGGGUUCAAUCCUCAGCAUCACAU